rnacentral:rRNA from 1 species
ACGAGUGGCGGACGGGUGAGUAACACGUAGGUAACCUGCCCAGAAGCGGGGGACAACACUUGGAAACAGGUGCUAAUACCGCAUAACAAUUCAAAUCGCAUGAUUUGAAUUUGAAAGAUGGUUUCGGCUAUCACUUCUGGAUGGACCUGCGGCGCAUUAGCUUGUUGGUGGGGUAACGGCCUACCAAGGCAGUGAUGCGUAGCCGAGUUGAGAGACUGAUCGGCCACAAUGGGACUGAGACACGGCCCAUACUCCUACGGGAGGCAGCAGUAGGGAAUCUUCCACAAUGGGCGCAAGCCUGAUGGAGCAACACCGCGUGAGUGAAGAAGGUUUUCGGAUCGUAAAGCUCUGUUGUUGAAGAAGAACGUGCAUGAGAGUAACUGUUCAUGCAGUGACGGUAUUCAACCAGAAAGUCACGGCUAACUACGUGCCAGCAGCCGCGGUAAUACGUAGGUGGCAAGCGUUAUCCGGAUUUAUUGGGCGUAAAGAGAGUGCAGGCGGUUUCUUAAGUCUGAUGUGAAAGCCUUCGGCUCAACCGAAGAAGUGCAUCGGAAACUGGGAAACUUGAGUACAGAAGAGGGCAGUGGAACUCCAUGUGUAGCGGUGGAAUGCGUAGAUAUAUGGAAGAACACCAGUGGCGAAGGCGGCUGCCUGGUCUGUAACUGACGCUGAGACUCGAAAGCAUGGGUAGCGAACAGGAUUAGAUACCCUGGUAGUCCAUGCCGUAAACGAUGAGUGCUAGGUGUUGGAGGGUUUCCGCCCUUCAGUGCCGGAGCUAACGCAUUAAGCACUCCGCCUGGGGAGUACGACCGCAAGGUUGAAACUCAAAGGAAUUGACGGGGGCCCGCACAAGCGGUGGAGCAUGUGGUUUAAUUCGAAGCUACGCGAAGAACCUUACCAGGUCUUGACAUCUUGCGCCAACCCUAGAGAUAGGGCGUUUCCUUCGGGAACGCAAUGACAGGUGGUGCAUGGUCGUCGUCAGCUCGUGUCGUGAGAUGUUGGGUUAAGUCCCGCAACGAGCGCAACCCUUGUUACUAGUUGCCAGCAUUCAGUUGGGCACUCUAGUGAGACUGCCGGUGACAAACCGGAGGAAGGUGGGGACGACGUCAGAUCAUCAUGCCCCUUAUGACCUGGGCUACACACGUGCUACAAUGGACGGUACAACGAGCAGCGAACUCGCGAGGGCAAGCAAAUCUCUUAAAACCGUUCUCAGUUCGGAUUGCAGGCUGCAACUCGCCUGCAUGAAGUCGGAAUCGCUAGUAAUCGCGGAUCAGCAUGCCGCGGUGAAUACGUUCCCGGGCCUUGUACACACCGCCCGUCACACCAUGAGAGUUUGUAACACCCAAAGUCGGUGGGGUAACCUUUUGGAGCCAGCCGCCUAAGGUGGGACAGAUGAUUAGGGUGAAGUCGUAACAAGGUAGCCGUAGGAGAACCUGCGGUUG